GGGCAUCCCUGACAUCCAUGCAGCACUGAGAGAACUGACCGCCACCGUUACAGAGCAGAAAGCAAACAUCAGAGAACUGACCGCCGCAGAUACAGAGCAGAAAAAAAACAUCAGAGCUUUAGAGACACAACUGAGGGAACAACAGACGUUUAUCCUGGAAGAGCUGAAGAAAAAUGAUGAAAUGUCAAAUCUUACUCUGAGUCAAGUGGAGGAGUUGAGAAAGGAAAAUAGAGACAGAGAAAUAGCUUUUUCAGCUGGACUGAUGGAAUCUGGCAGUGGAUAUAUUGGUCCUUUUACCACUAACAUCACACUAACCUACAGGAACGUCAUCACAAACAUAGGGAACGCCUACAACCCAGUUACAGGUGUUUUCACAGCCCCACUGAAAGGAGCGUACAUGUUCAGAAUCUCUGUAUAUGGUCAUGGUGGAACUGCAGCAAAAGCAUCCAUUUUUAAGAAUAGACAGCAUGUGGUUGUGGCAUUUAAUUAUCAGGCUCAGGAUCGGGUAAACUCCUCAAAUGGAGUUGUGUUGAUCCUGGAGGUUGGAGAUGUUGUCUAUGUGAGACUUUGGUCUGACACGAGGAUAGCAGAUACCCAGGAUAACCACAACACUUUCAGUGGUUUCCUAUUGUUUCCUUUAAGAUAACAGGAGCUUUGCAGAAUGUGAUUCCAAUAAUUCUGAACCUUCAACAUACAAUUUAAGAUGAAAAUCAUGAAUCUUUAACAUAUGAACGUCUAUUAAUGAAGAAUAAUGCGUGUUUGAAAUUUGCAAUAGAUUACUGUAUAAAAGUCUGAGUCUAUAAAUGUAACUUUAUAAAACAGUUUCAGCACUGAGAACGACAGGACCCAUGAAUCUCACAUGUGACUCAAAAGUGUUUUGUUAAAGUAGUAAAUCUAGAAUGUUAAAUAAUACAUUUUAAGUGUAGCUUGUUACUGAUCCUUGAUCUGUAUCUCUUUAUCCUUCAUAAAUAAAUAAGAGAAUAAAGAGA